rnacentral:rRNA from 1 species
UACGUAGGGGGCAAGCGUUGUCCGGAUUUAUUGGGCGUAAAGAGCGUGUAGGCGGCUAGAUAGGUCCGUUGUGAAAACUCGAGGCUCAACCUCGAGACGUCGAUGGAAACCAUCUGGCUAGAGUCCGGAAGAGGAGAGUGGAAUUCCUGGUGUAGCGGUGAAAUGCGCAGAUAUCAGGAAGGAACACCCAGUGGCGAAGGCGCACUCUGGGUACGUGACUGACGUGAGACGCGAAAGCUAGGGGAGCAAACAGG